GAUGAAGAACGCAGCGAAAUGCGAUACUUGGUGUGAAUUGCAGAAUCCCGUGAACCAUCGAGUCUUUGAACGCAAGUUGCGCCUCAAGCCAUUAGGUUGAGGGCACGUCUGCCUGGGCGUCACAUAUCGUUGCCUGAUGCCAGUUUCCUCGUUAUGGGUGACUGUGCAGGGCGAAUGAUGGCUUCCCGUGAGCAUUGUUGCCUCAUGGUUGGUUGAAAAUUGAGUCCUUGGUAGGGAGCGCCGUGAUAGAUGGUGGUUGAGUGACGAACGAGACCCAAUCAUGUGAGACCCCUACCGAAUUUGGCCUUCAUGACCCACAUGCGUCUUUGGAACGCUCAUGACGAGACCUCAGGUCAGGCGGGGCUACCCGCUGAGUUUAAGCAUAUCAAUAAGCGGAGGA
rnacentral:misc_RNA from 1 species